rnacentral:rRNA from 1 species
GCUGGCGGCAUGCCUAAUACAUGCAAGUCGAACGGUAACAGGACGCUGUGAUCCCUUCGGGGUGAACUUGUCGCUGACGAGUGGCGGACGGGUGAGUAAUGCUUGGGAAUCUGCCCAGUAGUGGGGGACAACACGGGGAAACUCGUGCUAAUACCGCAUACGUCCUACGGGAGAAAGUGGGGGAUCUUCGGACCUCACGCUAUUGGAUGAGCCCAAGUCGGAUUAGCUUGUUGGUAGGGUAACGGCCUACCAAGGCGACGAUCCGUAGCUGGUCUGAGAGGACGAUCAGCCACACUGGGACUGAGACACGGCCCAUACUCCUACGGGAGGCAGCAGUAGGGAAUAUUGGACAAUGGGGGCAACCCUGAUCCAGCAAUGCCGCGUGUGUGAAGAAGGCCUGCGGGUUGUAAAGCACUUUCAGUAGA